GCUUAACACAAGUUGAGUAGGGAAAGUUUUUCGGUGUAGGAUGAGACUAUAUAGUAUCAGCUAGUUGGUGAGGUAAUGGCUCACCAAGGCUAUGACGCUUAACUGGUCUGAGAGGAUGAUCAGUCACACUGGAACUGAGACACGGUCCAGACUCCUACGGGAGGCAGCAGUAGGGAAUAUUGCGCAAUGGGGGAAACCCUGACGCAGCAACGCCGCGUGGAGGAUGACACUUUUCGGAGCGUAAACUCCUUUUCUUAGGGAAGAAUUCUGACGGUACCUAAGGAAUAAGCACCGGCUAACUCCGUGCCAGCAGCCGCGGUAAUACGGAGGGUGCAAGCGUUACUCGGAAUCACUGGGCGUAAAGGGCGCGUAGGCGGAUUAUCAAGUCUCUUGUGAAAUCCAACGGCUUAACCGUUGAACUGCUUGGGAAACUGGUAAUCUAGAGUGGGGGAGAGGCAGAUGGAAUUGGUGGUGUAGGGGUAAAAUCCGUAGAUAUCACCAAGAAUACCCAUUGCGAAGGCGAUCUGCUGGAACUUAACUGACGCUAAGGCGCGAAAGCGUGGGGAGCAAACAGGAUUAGAUACCCUGGUAGUCCACGCCCUAAACGAUGUAUGCUAGUUGUUGGGGUGCUAGUCAUCUCAGUAAUGCAGCUAACGCAUUAAGCAUACCGCCUGGGGAGUACGGUCGCAAGAUUAAAACUCAAAGGAAUAGACGGGGACCCGCACAAGCGGUGGAGCAUGUGGUUUAAUUCGAAGAUACGCGAAGAACCUUACCUGGGCUUGAUAUCCUAAGAACCUUAUAGAGAUAUGAGGGUGCUAGCUUGCUAGAACUUAGAGACAGGUGCUGCACGGCUGUCGUCAGCUCGUGUCGUGAGAUGUUGGGUUAAGUCCCGCAACGAGCGCAACCCACGUAUUUAGUUGCUAACACUUCGGGUGAGCACUCUAAAUAGACUGCCUUCGUAAGGAGGAGGAAGGUGUGGACGACGUCAAGUCAUCAUGGCCCUUAUGCCCAGGGCGACACACGUGCUACAAUGGCAUAUACAAUGAGACGCAAUACCGCGAGGUGGAGCAAAUCUAUAAAAUAUGUCCCAGUUCGGAUUGUUCUCUGCAACUCGAGAGCAUGAAGCCGGAAUCGCUAGUAAUCGUAGAUCAGCCAUGCUACGGUGAAUACGUUCCCGGGUCUUGUACUCACCGCCCGUCACACCAUGGGAGUUGAUUUCACUCGAAGCCGGAAUACUAAACUAGUUACCGUCCACAGUGGAAUCAGCGACUGGGGUGAAGUCGUAACAAGGUAACCGUAGGAGAACCUGCGGUUGG
rnacentral:rRNA from 1 species